rnacentral:sRNA from 2 species
UGGCUGUCGUAGCGAUUCUAAUUUGUGUUGCUAUUCUUUUAUCCCUCGGCAUGCGGCUCAUUCAAACUCGCCAGCUGCGUUCCUUGGAAAGGAGAGUCGCAGCGGGAGAAGUUGAUCUGGAGACCCUGGGUAUUAAGCGGCUGAACGUCCCGCAAGAUAUCCUGGAUAAAAUGCCCCUCUAUAUCUGCGAUGGGUCAGGUAGAAUUGAGCAUUUCAUACCUCCGACUGCGGAAACGACGCUAGAACCCGAAGGACAUUCCAAAUUACCAUUAGAUAAGAAGAGUUUUCUUCAAGCUAUGUCGAAUUGGGUGUGGAUUUCACGGGUAUCACAAACCCUCUUUCCGCGUAAAUCACCAUCUCCAUCAUCGGCUCUGCCUCCACCAUCUCCAAGGUCGC